GGAAGAACUUUACUUUCAAGAAAUUCUGCGUGCCAAUCCAGGGAGCUGUUAGGAAGCUGGCUAAGAGACUCAGUCAUCAUUUCAGCUGAGAGACUGGGAGCAAGCCAGCCUGGCUUCCGCAGUGGCCCAGAGAGCCCUGGGGGAUUAUUCUCAGGGCGGGGGCCUGUGGGAGGGCAGAAGAAGCACAAAGUUUCUUACAGAUCCAGUGGGAGAAACGCCAAGAAGACGCCACAAUUCCAGUGAAGGGUAAAGGAGACACUCAUCCUCUGGGGUACCCAAGGGCCAAGUAGUGAGGAAGCCUCCAGUCUUUGAGAUUCUCUGGGCUUGUUCUGUUGUUGAGCUGCCUGAAGGAGCACCCUAGCCUUCUUGUCACCCACUCUAGUCUUGAUCACGCCCUCCCUCAGGGGCACUUGACUGGACUUCCUCCUUGUGCAGCCCCUAUUAUGAUGUCAUCUCCUCAGCCUCAACCACUUCUGCCAGAAAAGACUACACAAGUUCCCCAAAUAUCUAUAGAGUCAGAUAAGGGGAGGCUGACAUGAGCUG
rnacentral:lncRNA from 1 species